CCCUUGCCUCACACCGGCCCCUCUCACGCCGAGAGAGGUCAGCGUGAGCCCCUUGCCUCUCACCGGCCCCUCCCACGCCGAGAGAGGUCAGCGUGAGCCCUUGCCUCACACCGGCCCCUCCCACGCCGAGAGAGGUCACCGUGAGCCCCUUGCCUCACACCGGCCCCUCUCACGCCGAGAGAGGUCAGCGUGAGCCCCUUGCCUCACACCGGCCCCUCCCACGCCGAGAGAGGUCAGCGUGAGCCCUUGCCUCACACCGGCCCCUCCCACGCCGAGAGAGGUCGGCGUGAGCCCCUUGCCUCACACUGGCCCCUCCCACGCUGAC
rnacentral:lncRNA from 1 species